AUCAACUUUCGAUGGUAGGAUAGAGGCCUACCAUGGUGGUAACGGGUAACGGGGUGUUAGGGCACGACACCGGAGAGGGAGCCUGAGAAACGGCUACCACAUCCAAGGAUGGCAGCAGGCGCGCAAAUUACCCAAUCCCGACACGGGGAGGUAGUGACAAUAAAUAACAAUACGGGGUCCUUUCGGGUUUCGUAAUUGGAAUGAGUACAAUUUAAAUCUCUUAACGAGGAACAAUUGGAGGGCAAGUCUGGUGCCAGCAGCCGCGGUAAUUCCAGCUCCAAUAGCGUUUA
rnacentral:rRNA from 1 species